GACGAAGGGGGCAAGCGUUGUUCGGAAUUACUGGGCGUAAAGGGCGCGUAGGCGGUUCUUUAAGUCAGGCGUGAAAGCCCUGGGCUUAACCCGGGAAGCGCGCUUGAUACUGCAGGGCUUGAGUGUGGGAGAGGAUGAUGGAAUUCCCAGUGUAGAGGUGAAAUUCGUAGAUAUUGGGAAGAACACCGGUGGCGAAGGCGAUCAUCUGGACCACAACUGACGCUGAGGCGCGAAAGCGUGGGGAGCAAACAGG
rnacentral:rRNA from 1 species